GACGUAGGAGGCGAGCGUUGUCCGGAUUCAUGGGGCGUAAAGAGCGCGCAGGCGGCUUGGUAAGUCGGAUGUGAAAUCCCGAGGCUCAACCUCGGGUCUGCAUCCGAUACUGCCCGGCUAGAGGUAGGUAGGGGAGAUCGGAAUUCCUGGUGUAGCGGUGAAAUGCGCAGAUAUCAGGAGGAACACCGGUGGCGAAGGCGGAUCUCUGGGCCUUACCUGACGCUCAGGCGCGAAAGCUAGGGGAGCGAACUGG
rnacentral:rRNA from 1 species